rnacentral:sRNA from 1 species
UCCGUAGGUGAACCUGCGGAAGGAUCAUUAAAGAAUAUAUGAGUCUUACGACUCUUUAAACUUUAUUCAUUACCCUGUGCAUUAAACUGUUUUAUUACUUUAAACACUAUUAAGAAAUGAAUGUAAUCAGCUUGUUUUGAACAAGUAAAUAACAAAAUAAAACUUUCAGCAACGGAUCUCUUGGCUCUCGCAUCGAUGAAGAACGCAGCGAAAUGCGAUACGUAAUGUGAAUUGCAGAAUUCAGUGAAUCAUCGAAUCUUUGAACGCACCUUGCGCUCUUGGGUAUUCCUAAGAGCAUGUCUGUUUGAGUGUCGUGAAUCUCUCAAAACCCCCUUUUGUUUAAUUACGAAAGAGUUUUCGGGCUUUGGAUGAUGACCGUUUGCCGUUUUCAUUAAUGGCUCGGUCGAAAUAUAACAGCUGAAGCUAAUAAUCGUAUUAUUGCUUACUCUGGACUUGGCGUGAUAAUUAUUUCGCUAAAGAACGAGUUUGUAGACUUUUAUUAAGCGGGCUUAUAAAACACAACUUUUACAUUAGACCUCAAAUCAGACAGGACUACCCGCUGAACUUAAGCAUAUCAAUAAGCGGAGGAAAAGAAACUAACAAGGAUUCCCCUAGUAACGGCGAGUGAAGUGGGAAAAGCUCAACUUUAAAAUCUGGCACUUUCAGUGUCCGAGUUGUAGUCUCGAGAAGUGUUUUCCGCGCUGGACCACGUACGAGUCUGUUGGAACACAGCGUCAUAGAGGGUGAGAAUCCCGCUCAUGAUGUGGACUCCCAGUGCUUUGUGAUACACUUUCGAUGAGUCGAGUUGUUUGGGAAUGCAGCUCAAAUUGGGUGGUAAAUUCCAUCUAAAGCUAAAUAUUGGCGAGAGACCGAUAGCGAACAAGUACCGUGAGGGAAAGAUGAAAAGCACUUUGGAAAGAGAGUUAACAGUACGUGAAAUUGUUGAAAGGGAAACGCUUGAAGU